rnacentral:lncRNA from 1 species
AAAAAUUGAGAAAAUCAAUAAGUUUAUAGAAGACCUGAAUAAUACUAUCAACCAGCUUGACAUAACUGACAUUUAUUGAACAUAUCACCCCCAAAGAGCAAAAUACACACUCUUUUUAAGUGCACACAUGAUAGUCACCUAGUAACCCAUAUCUGGAUCAUUAAACAAACAUCAACAGAAUUGAAAUCAUGUGAUGUAUAUUAUCUGACAAAAAUAUAAUUGAACUAAAAAUUAUUAAAUAUUUGGAAAUUAAACUUCUAAAUAAGCCAUGGAUUAAAGUGGUAGUCACAAGUGAAAUUAAAAAGAAUAAGUGACAAUAUGCACUAUUUGGUUUUCUGUUCCUGCAUUAAUUUGCUUAGGAUAGUAGCCCCUAGCUGCAUCUACGCUGCUGCAAGGAAAUUACUUUGUUCUUUUUCAUGACUGCAUAGUAUUCCAUGAUGUGUAUGUACCACAUUUUCUUUAAUCCACUAUUGAUGGAUAUCUAGGUUCAUUC